GGGUGCAGCAGGCGCGAAACCUUUUCAAUGCACGCAAGUGUGAGAAGGGAAUUCCAAGUGCUCAAGUUUUACUUGGGCUUUUGCCAAGUGUAAAAAGCUUGGCGAAUAAGGGGUGGGUAAGACUGGUGCCAGCCGCCGCGGUAACACCAGCGCCUCGAGUGGGGAUCGCGAUUACUGGGUCUAAAGCGUCCGUAGCAGGCUUUGUGAAUGCUUUGUGAAAUCGGCAGGCAUAAUCUGUCGGCGUGCAGAGUACACUGCAGAGCUUGAGACCGGGAGAUGUCAGAAGUAUUCCUAGGGUACCGGUAAAAUGGGUUAAUCCUGGGAGGACUACCGAUGGCGAAGGCAUCUGACAAGAACGGUUCUGACUGUGAGGGACGAAAGCUAGGGGAGCAAAACGGAUUAGAUACCCGAGUAGUCCUAGCCGUAAACGCUGCGAGCAAGGUAUUGCGCCUCCCACGAGGAUGCGCAGUGUCGAAAUGAAGAUGUUAAGCUCGCCACCAGGGAAGUACGGUCGCAAGGCUGAAACUUUAAGGAAUUGGCGGGGGA
rnacentral:rRNA from 1 species